AUGGGUCAUGGAACUAGGUGGAACUCCUUCAAAUUCUUUAUGCAUUUGGUCUUUCUGACAAUUGUCAGUGGGAUCAUUUACAUUUUACAUCAUAAAAUAUCAUAGAAAGCUCUUUUUUAUUCCAGCUGCUUUACGUGCUUGACGAAUUGAAAUCUAAAGCCUCCCAAAAGUCUCCCUUUUUAUAACUAAUAUAGGGAGUUGCGUGGAUAGUCGACAAAGCUCCAAAGUUUGGGUCUGUUAAGAACGAACGAUCAUUGGAGCAAAUAGGCUUUGGGUAUUCGAGAAGAUGGGUUUUGAGGCCUUGGCUUGGUACUGCAAGCCAGUUGCACAAGGAUUCUGGGAGAAAACAGUGGAUGGUGCCUUUGGCGCCUACACACCGUGCGUGGUUAACACAUUAGUGAUGCUUGUUUCUCAAAUUGUGCUUCUUGGUUUGUGUUUGUACCGGAUAUGGAUCAUCUUCCGCAAUGCCAAAGCUCAGUUAUACGUUUUGAGGAACAAGUACUAUAACUGUGUGCUAGGGAUAUUGGCUUGUUACUGUGCUGCUGAGCCUGUACUGAGACUGGUCAUGCGGAUCUCACUCUUUAGCAUGGAUGAAGAGACUUAUCUUCCUCCCUUUGAGGUCGCAUCUUUGACGGUUGAGGCAUUCGCUUGGCUCUCCAUGCUUUCUUUGGUUGGGUUAGAAACCAAACGAUAUGUCAAAGAGUUCAGAUGGUACGUGAGGUUUGGUGUUGUUUAUGUUUUGGUUGCUGAUGCUGUGCUGCUGGAUCUUGUGUUACCUCUCAACAACUCACUAAAUAGAACUGCACUAUAUCUCUGUAUCAGUUCAAGAUGUGCUCAGGUUAUUUUUGGAGUUAUGCUUCUUGUUUACAUUCCGGAACUAGAUCCUUACCACGGUUACCAUACUCUAAACAAUGAAUCAUUAGACAAUGUUGAAUAUGAUGUCCUCCCUGAGGGAGAGAACAUAUGUCCCGAGAGACGUGCCGGCUUCUUUACAGGAAUAUUCUUUGACUGGAUCACGCCGCUUAUGCAGUUAGGCUACAGAAAAACCUUAAACGAGAAGGAUGUUUGGCAAUUAGAUAAAUGGGACCAAACAGAAACUUUGAUCAAAAGAUUUCAAAGAUCCUGGACUGAAGAAUCACGGAAAAACAAGCCAUGGCUUCUCCGAGCACUGAAUAAAAGUCUUGGUGGAAGGUUCUGGUUUGGUGGUAUUUUUAAGAUUGGACAUGAUCUUUCUCAAUUUGUUGGACCGCUUAUACUGAGCCAGUUAUUGCGGGCAAUGCAAGAAGAUGAUCCAGCUUGGGUUGGCUAUGUCUAUGCUUUCUUUAUUUUCGUUGGAGUGACACUAGGUGUGCUUUGUCAAUCUCAGUACUUUCAGCAUGUUGGUCGUGCGGCAUUUAGGUUGAGGUCAACUAUGGUUGCAGCUGUAUUCCACAAAUCUUUAAGACUAACUCAUGAAGCUCGCAAGAAUUUUACAUCUGGAAAAGUCACAAAUAUGAUAACUGCAGAUGCUAGUGCACUUCAGGUAUUCUCAGGUUCACAACUUUGCACAACUAAUGGAUUUGUAACUGCUGCUAACAUAUUCUCCCAAUUUGUUUGUCAGCUAAUAGUAGAACAGCUCCAUGGCUUAUGGUCAGCUCCCUUUCGCAUCAUUAUGUCUAUUAUUCUUCUCUAUCAACAACUAGGAGUUGCUUCCCUUUUCGGUUCACUGAUUCUGUUUCUCCUAAUUCCUCUCCAGACUCUGGUUAUAAACAAAAUGCGGAAACUAACUAAAGAAGGACUCCAAUGGACCGACAAAAGAGUCGGUAUCACGAAUGAGAUCUUGGCAUCCAUGGAUACUGUAAAAUGCUAUGCAUGGGAAAAGAGCUUUGAGUCGCGUAUUGAAGGAAUUAGAAACGAAGAGCUCUCAUGGUUUCGCAAAGCUCAGUUACUAUCAGCUUUUAAUAGUUUCAUACUGAACAGCACCCCAGUAGUUGUGACUGUGGUUUCAUUUGGGGUUUUUGUUCUGUUGGGAGGAGAUUUGACGCCAGCAAGGGCAUUCUCAUCUCUUUCUCUCUUCUCAGUUCUAAGAUCUCCUCUCAACAUGCUACCAAAUCUACUAAGUCAGGCCGUGAACGCAAAUGUUUCACUACAACGCAUUGAGGACCUACUUCUCAGUGAAGAGAGAGUUCUAGCACAGAACCCACCUAUUCAACCAGGAGCUCCAGCCAUUUCAAUUAAGAAUGGAUACUUUUCAUGGGAUUCAAAGACAACGAAGCCCACACUGUCCAAUAUCAAUUUGGAGAUACCAGUGGGAAGCUUGGUUGCCAUUGUAGGUGGAACCGGAGAAGGUAAGACAUCACUUGUCUCGGCAAUGUUGGGAGAGUUAUCUCAUGGUGAAACCUCAAACGUCGUUAUUAGAGGCUCCGUAGCUUAUGUCCCUCAAGUUUCAUGGAUCUUCAAUGCCACUGUGCGUGAAAACAUUAUAUUUGGGUCGGAUUUUGAAAGGGAAAGAUAUUGGAGGGCUAUUGACGUGACUGCCUUAAAACACGAUCUUGAUUUGCUUCCGGGCCGUGAUCUUACAGAGAUUGGAGAACGUGGGGUCAAUAUCAGCGGAGGGCAGAAGCAGAGAGUCUCAAUGGCUAGGGCUGUCUACUCUAAUUCAGAUGUUUACAUAUUCGAUGAUCCUUUGAGUGCUUUAGAUGCUCAUGUUGCUCAGCAGGUCUUUGAUAGUUGCAUGAAGGAAGAGCUGAAGGGCAAAACGAGGAUUCUUAUCACAAAUCAGUUACAUCUUCUUCCUAUGAUGGAUAGAAUUAUUUUAGUCUCCGAGGGAAUGAUUAAAGAGGAAGGGACCUUUGAAGAGCUGUCAGGGAACGGUAGUUUGUUCCAGAAAUUGAUGGAGAAUGCUGGGAAAAUGGAUGCAACCCAAGAGAUGUACAAAUUUGAUGACGAGAAGAUCUUGGAAGACCCUACUGUCAAUGUUGAAAUAAAACUAGGGAGUACCAAACAAGGUGAAGAUGGAAGAUCCGUGCUUGUCAAGAAAGAAGAACGAGAGUCUGGCAUCAUUAGUUGGAACGUUCUGACGAGGUAUAAAAAUGCAGUAGGAGGGUUAUGGGUAGUUUUGAUUCUCUUGGCAUGCUAUGUAACAACUGAAGCUCUCCGACUCACAAGCUGCACAUGGUUAAGUUUUUGGACUGACCAAAGCACGUCCAAGAGUUACAGUACCGGUUUCUACAUUGUAAUGUUUGCUCUUUUCGGAUUUGGUCAGGUUGCUGUUACGUUUACCAAUUCAUUUUGGCUUCUGACAUCAAGUCUACAUGCGGCUAAAACACUCCAUGACGCAAUGCUGAACUCUAUCCUGAGAGCUCCUAUGCUCUUCUUCGACACAAACCCAACUGGGCGUGUAAUAAAUAGGUUCUCUAAAGAUAUUGGUGAUAUAGAUAGAAUUGUCGCCAACCUGAUGAAUAUGUUCAUGAGCCAGCUGUGGCAACUCCUCUCGACGUUUGCUCUUAUAGGUGCUGUCAGUACCAUUUCAUUGUGGGCAAUAAUGCCACUCCUCAUACUGUUUUAUGCUGCAUACCUCUACUAUCAGAACACAUCACGUGAAGUAAGACGUAUGGAUUCUGUUGCAAGAUCACCUAUUUAUGCUCAAUUUGGAGAAGCAUUGAAUGGUUUGUCAAGCAUCAGAGCCUACAAAGCCUAUGAUCGGAUGGCAAAGAUUAAUGGAAAAUCAGUAGACAACAACAUAAGGUUCACUCUUGCUAAUACUACCUGUAAUCGUUGGCUCACUAUAAGAUUGGAGACUCUUGGAGGUGUCAUGAUUUGGUUAACCGCAACUUUCGCGGUUAUGAGAAGCAGUAAUACAGAGAACCAAGCUGGUUUUGCGUCAACGAUGGGUCUUCUCCUUAGCUACACACUGAAUAUCACUACUCUGAUGAGUGGUGUUCUAAGGCAAGCUAGCAAAGCAGAGAACAGCUUGAACUCUGUUGAGAGAGUUGGUAACUACAUUGAUCUUCCUUCUGAGGGUGCAGAGAUAAUCGAGAGCAAUCGUCCAGUCCCUGGCUGGCCUUCAAGAGGGUCUAUUACAUUUGAAGACGUUCACCUGCGUUAUAGGCCGGGGCUGCCUAUUGUGUUACAUGGACUGUCCUUUUCUGUCUCUCCUAAUGAGAAAGUGGGAGUGGUGGGAAGAACUGGGGCAGGGAAGUCUUCAGUUCUGAAUGCAUUGUUUAGGAUUGUGGAAGUGGAGAAGGGAAGAAUCAUGAUUGAUGAUUAUGAUGUGGCUAAGUUUGGACUGACAGAUCUGCGCAGGGUCCUGAGUAUAAUACCACAAUCUCCAGUGCUUUUCUCAGGGACGGUGAGAUUCAACAUUGACCCAUUUGAUGAGCACAAUGAUGCUGACCUCUGGGAGGCUCUACAAAGGGCACAUAUGAAAGAUGUUAUCGCCAGGAAUCCUUUAGGCCUUGAUACUGAGGUCUCAGAGGGAGGUGAGAAUUUCAGCGUGGGACAAAGGCAACUGUUGAGUCUAGUGCGUGCGUUGCUAAGAAGAUCCAAGAUCCUUGUUCUAGAUGAAGCAACUGCAUCUGUUGAUGUCAGAACAGAUACUCUGAUACAAAGGACCAUCCGUGAGGAAUUCAAGUCUUGCACAAUGCUUGUUAUCGCUCACAGAUUGAAUACCAUCAUCGACUGUGACAAGAUCCUUGUCCUUAGUUCUGGUCAGGCUUUGGAGUAUGAUAGUCCACAAGAACUGCUAUCAAGAGACACAAGCGCUUUCUUUGGGAUGGUUCAUAGCACUGGACUAGCAAAUGCUCAGCACCUUUGCAAUUUGGUCUUCGGAGGGAGAGAAGUGAACGGAAGGAGACAAGAAGGAUUCAAAUCGGCGAAGGAUUCCGGCGGUGACGAAUUCUCCGGCGAGAUUGGACGACGCUGCAGAGUUGUCCGGCGAGAUCCGACGAAGCUACGGCGAGAUUCGACGAAGCUACGGCGAGAUUCGACGAAGCUACGGCGAGAGGCGAGAUCUCUGGCGAACUCGAUGAACUCUGGCGAACUCGGAAAACUCCGACGAACUCGACGAUCUCCGGCGAAUUCAGUGAUGUACAGUGAACUUGGCGAUCUCCUGGCGAAUUCGGCUAUCUUCGACGAACUUGACGAGACUCCGAGCAAGACUGAGAGAGCCAUAGUCAUGGAGAUUAGCGAGGAAGAAGACGACUCUGUAUAUAUUGAAACCAUACAUAUUUAAUCAAAAAUCAUUCCGUUUAUUAGUCUCUCACCGAAAUAAAAGAAAGGUGUGUUGUGAGGUUUUGGAUUUAAAGAAUGCUGUAGAGAAUAUGUGUGGUGAUAUGCAUACCAAGUACCUCACGUUUUUGAGAAUAACUGAAAAAGCAGUGGAGAGUGAAGCAUGAGUUUGUUGAGCUAAGGAAACAUAUUUCUUCUUGCCUUGCAUAUGUUCAUCACUAGCUUUCAAUGUUAAAUGUGUUAUAUGAGUUCAUAUUUUGCUCUGAACCACCUAUUGACGUAUCUCAUGUAUGUGAAGAAGAUUAGGAAAUCAAUGGAGGCCAAAGAUGGAUGGUUUAUAAAUCAUUACAAAUGUUAACUAUUUUGCUAAAUAAUUUAUAAGCCGUUAUAAAUAAAUUUAUAAA